ACUGUAACUGACAGAGGAGGCAGAAGUGCCUGCCAAGAAUGGAGGGUCUGGUCUGGGGACCAGCUGAAGGCUCAUCGGGCUCAUACUGCUGGCACCAGGGCUGUCGACCAGGGCACCUACUUGGGGGCUUCCCCACGCAGGCUGAGGGUCCACCUGGAAGAUACCAAGGCGAUGGGGCUUGGUGCCGUCCUGAGUUUGCAGGCCGAGGCUCACGCUGCUCUGCCAACACUCACAUACAGUAUCCGCGUAAGCCAAAGAAACCCCCCGAACUUGGGACAGGCAGCUCCUUGCUGUGGGCCACACACGGGCUCGGGAAGGACCAGUGACUCAGGGGCUUUCAUUGUUUCAGAUCAAAGGCUGAGUGUGGCCAAGUGAAGGAGAAAGCCCCUGUGCGGGCACCUGCAGAGGCGUCCACCCUGCCCAGGGGCCUCUGGGGACGCAGCGCCCACCCUGCCCAGGGGCCUCUGGGGACGCAGCGACCCACUGACCAGUGAGCGCAGAUGAGCGACUGCACCUCUCUGCUUCAGCUCUUCAUGGCCAGAUGGGAGGACAAUCCCCACCUUGCAAGGUGGCGUUAAGGACUGAGAAAGAACGAGCACCAGGCCUGGCCCCAUGAGCACUGCUGGGUCUGGAUCCAGGCGCCGUCCACCUUCCACCCGGCAGCACUAAUGCUUCCCUCCCCGGCUGCACUGGCCCUUAUCUGGGGGUCAGGAACUCACGUGCUGAAUAAAGAGCAACUCUUUUCCAGA
ensembl:lncRNA SEPTIN9-DT SEPTIN9 divergent transcript